GACAAUGUGAUAAGCAUUUGAGGAAACUGUCUUCCUGAACUCCACUGCAUGUCAGAACGGGAAGCUUUACUGUAGACC
rnacentral:lncRNA from 13 species